UGUAAACAUCCCCGACUGGAAGCUGUAAAUUUCAGCUUUCAGUCAGAUGUUUGCU
rnacentral:pre_miRNA from 11 species